AUUAACAAAGAUGAAAAGUACGACAGAAAGUUAAAGUCUGGACUCUAUUCUCUGUAGGUAAAUCAUUGACUAUUGACUUUUUCAUUUUUUAACAAGACUAAUCUCCAUUCUCCACUAUUGGACUUGUGCAUGUGAACUUGUGUUAAAAAGAAAACUUUCGAGACUAAUCAAACAAAUCCAACAACUGAACCAGGUGGUUUGCGUUUAUUGCUAUUUUUUUUAUUCAGUUGCAUGUUUAGUUAUUGUAGUAAUACUAAAGAGUUGAUAUCUACAUGUAUAUUGCUUUAUACAACAUGUGCAAAACUUUGGGCAACCAUUCUUCCCGGCAAUUCGGGUGGGUGAGACAUUAGUUGAAGAACGAGUUAUAGAUGUAUGAGGAGUUUUACAUGGCAUAUGAGUCUGGAAAUAAAGUACUGAACAACAUCAUAUAUGGACCUGGAGGAAAUAAGUACUGAUAUUGUAAGGUAAUUGAUUAUUCACUUUAAUUUGCAUUGAAGUAGGGAUCAUUUGUUUUGUUUAUAGCUAUAUAUUUUAUACAGAGACUUGAUGUUUUUAAGUUGUAUUUUUACUCAUUCUUAAACAAUAAUGUGAUGUUUGCAUGCCUUUAGUUUACAUUUUCAUAAGCUCAUGACUUUCAUUUUGCGGCAUAUAGUAAAACGUCUGCUUGGUUUAGGUGAU
rnacentral:lncRNA from 1 species